rnacentral:snoRNA from 1 species
GUGCAAAUGAUGUAAACUUUUUAAAAUCUGAAUGUUAUUGAUGCAUUCAAAGGAACCACUGAUGCCA